rnacentral:rRNA from 1 species
GACGAACGCUGGCGGCGUGCCUAACACAUGCAAGUCGAGCGAAUGAAGUUCCUUCGGGAAUGGAUUUAGCGGCGGACGGGUGAGUAACACGUGGGCAACCUGCCUCAUAGAGGGGAAUAGCCUCCCGAAAGGGAGAUUAAUACCGCAUAAGAUUGUAGUACCGCAUGAUACAGCAAUUAAAGGAGCAAUCCGCUAUGAGAUGGGCCCGCGGCGCAUUAGCUAGUUGGUGAGGUAAUGGCUCACCAAGGCGACGAUGCGUAGCCGACCUGAGAGGGUGAUCGGCCACAUUGGGACUGAGACACGGCCCAGACUCCUACGGGAGGCAGCAGUGGGGAAUAUUGCAAAAUGGGGGAAACCCUGAUGCAGCAACGCCGCGUGAGUGAUGACGGCCUUCGGGUUGUAAAGCUCUGUCUUCAGGGACGAAAAUGACGGUACCUGAGGAGGAAGCCACGGCUAACUACGUG